AGAGUUUGAUCCUGGCUCAGGAUAAACGCUGGCGGCGUGCCUUAGGCAUGCAAGUCGAACGGGAAUAGUAAUAUUCAAGUGGCAGACGGGUGAGUAACGCGUAGGAAUCUACCUCUGGGUAGUGCAUAGCCGGCCGAAAGGUCGGGUAAUUCACUAUAGUUCCCGCAAGGGUAAAGGACUUAACGGUCCGCCGAGAGAGGAGCCUGCGUCCCAUCAGCUAGUUGGUAAGGUAAAAGCUUACCAAGGCGAUGACGGGUAGCUGGACUGAGAGGUCGAUCAGCCACAAUUGCACUUAGACACGGGCAAUACAUCUACGGAUGGCAGCAACCAGGAAUAUUGCGCAAUGGACGAAAGUCUGACGCAGCGACGCCGCGUGGAGGAUGAAGGCCCUCGGGUUGUAAACUCCUUUUGAUAGAUCUUUCACGGUCUAUAGAAUAAGCCUCUACUAACUACGUGCCAGAAGUCUCGGUAAUACGUAGGAGGCAAGCGUUAUCCGGAUUCAUUGGGCGUAAAGUGUGCGUAGGCGUUCCGUAAAGUCGAUAUUUAAAGACCAAGGCUUACCCUUGGAAGUGGUGUCGAUACUCACGGAAUUGAGGAUUGGUAGGGAAGCUGGAACAGUUAGUGUAGCAGUGAAAUGCGUUGAUAUUAACUGGAACACCAAGGGCGAAGGCAAGCUUCUGUACUUUUCUGACGCUGAGGCACGAAAGCUAGGGUAGCGAAACAGAAUA
rnacentral:rRNA from 1 species